UGGGGGUCUUUGGCCACUCGAGUUGUAAUUUAGAGAAGCGUCUUCCGCGCUGGACACCGUGCACAAGUCUCCUGGAAUGGAGCGUCGUAGAGGGUGAGAAUCCCGUCUUUGGCACGGACGCACCAGGGCUUUUGUGAUGCGCUCUCGAAGAGUCGAGUUGUUUGGGAAUGCAGCUCAAAAUGGGUGGUGAACUCCAUCUAAAGCUAAAUAUUGGCGAGAGACCGAUAGCGAACAAGUACCGUGAGGGAAAGAUGAAAAGCACUUUGGAAAGAGAGUGAAACAGUACGUGAAAUUGUUGAAAGGGAAACGCUUGAAGUCAGUCGCGUUGGCCGAGACUCAGCCUUGCCUCGGCUUGGUGUACUUCUCGAUCGACGGGUCAGCAUUGAUUUUGCCCCUUGGAUAAUGGUGAGGGAAAUGUGACACCUUUAUGGGUGUGUUAUAGUCUCUCGUCGCAUGCAAGGGUCGGGAUCGAGGAACUCAGCAUGCACCUUUGGGUGUCGGGGCCUUGCCCACGAUACGUGCUUAGGAUGUUGGCGUAAUGGCUUUAAACGACCCGUCUUGAAACACGGACCAAGGAGUCUAACAUGCCCGCGAGUGUUCGGGUGGAAAACCUGUGCGCGUAAUGAAAGUGAAAGUUGGGACCUCUGUCGUGGAGGGCACCGACGCCCGGACCAGACCUUCUGUGACGGAUCUGCGGUAGAGCGUGUAUGUUAGGACCCGAAAGAUGGUGAACUAUGCCUGAAUAGGGUGAAGCCAGAGGAAACUCUGGUGGAGGCUCGUAGCGAUUCUGACGUGCAAAUCGAUCGUCAAAUUUGGGUAUAGGGGCGAAAGAC
rnacentral:rRNA from 1 species